rnacentral:rRNA from 1 species
AGCGAACGCUGGCGGCGUGCCUAACACAUGCAAGUCGAACGUGAAAGGGAGCAAUCCUGAGUAAAGUGGCUACGGGUGAGUAACACGUGGGCAAUCUACCUGAGAGUCUGGAAUAACCGGCCGAAAGGCUGGCUAAUACUGGAUAGAGCGAUGGAAUCCGUAAUUGGGUUUCUCGGGAAAGGGAGGUCGUAAGAUCCCUUGCUCUCAGAUGGGCCUGCGUCCCAUCAGCUAGUUGGUAAGGUAAUGGCUUACCAAGGCUAUGACGGGUAGCUGGUCUGAGAGGAUGAUCAGCCACACUGGAACUGAAACACGGUCCAGACUCCUACGGGAGGCAGCAGUGGGGAAUCUUGCGCAAUGGACGAAAGUCUGACGCAGCCACGCCGCGUGAGUGAAGAAGGCCUUCGGGUUGUAAAGCUCUGUCGAGAGGGAAGAAUGGCUAGUGGGUUAACAGCCCAUUGGAUUGACGGUACCUCUAAAGGAAGCACCGGCUAACUCUGUGCCAGCCGCCGCCGUAA